rnacentral:rRNA from 1 species
GACGGAGGAUGCAAGCGUUAUCCGGAAUGGUUGGGCGUAAAGCGUCCGCAGGUGGCAGUUCAAGUCUGCUGUCAAAGACCGGGGCUUAACUUCGGAAAGGCAGUGGAAACUGAACAGCUAGAGUAUGGUAGGGGCAGAGGGAAUUCCUGGUGUAGCGGUGAAAUGCGUAGAGAUCAGGAAGAACAUCGGUGGCGAAGGCGCUCUGCUGGACCAUAACUGACACUCAGGGACGAAAGCUAGGGGAGCGAAUGGG